GGCGGUUCUCAGGUGAUGCACCCCAGAACCAGAGAGGAGGGAGCCCGAUUCUGGGGUGCGUCACCCGAGAACCACC
rfam:Myotis brandtii contig265648, whole genome shotgun sequence.